rnacentral:lncRNA from 1 species
UCUGAAAGAUCCAAGUACUGGUCCGCUGGAGUAUGCUAUGACAUGGCCUUUAUCUAAACCUUUAGGCUGAAGGGUAAAAGGGAGAAGAUCACCUGCUCAACUCUAUUUAAGAAUUGAACCUUUAGAAAAAGGAAGGUAGAAGCCACUUGCAGAGAAUUGACAAGAUACAAGAGCAAGGGCGAAAAGAUAAGGAAGCAAGCAAAGACCAAUACUCACCUCAGAUGCCUCUUUUCCUCCAGACUCUGAUAGAUCCCAAUCAUCAAUUAGAGUGCUUUUUCUGUCUUUAGAACUAUAUCCCUGCAAUAGAAACAAUAGAGUUCUCUGAAAAAUAUGAUUUAAUAAACUACACUCAAUUGUUUACCAACUAAUAGAAAAGCAAGCAGCUAUUACUUGGGCAAGUUUAAAUCCAAAUAAAUCCUGUUUCUAGCACAACGUGUUCAAUCACCAACAUGCAAACGUAACACUAUUAUAUCUAAUUAUCUACCAGAUAAAAUUACCACAAU